GAGUACUUUACUAUUUAGACAUCUAAUCUAAUUCACAAAUCAUAUAUGCAAAAAUUUAGAUCCAAUCUAAAUUAUAUUAGAUCUGAUUUUACAUGAGAUCAUAUCUAAAAUCGGAUCAUAACGCAUCUCAGGCAUUGCUAAAUCUAGAUUUCAACUCUACAUGCAUAUAUGUUCAUGUCAUAAUGAACCUGUACUCUGAUACCUUUGAAGGGAAGCGUGGUGAGGUUCGUGCAUGUAU
rnacentral:lncRNA from 1 species